rnacentral:misc_RNA from 1 species
CCCUAUUCUAUUUCUAACGCCACCCUUGCCCUCGUUGCGAUCCGCUCGAAUAAAAAUACAAAAACCCUUCCCUCCUCUCCCACACUCCCUCCCUUCUCUGCUACCUAUCAAACGCCACCGCUCAUUUCCUCUCACAAUCGCCCUCUCUGCUUUCAUCUUUGAUUCGACUUUUUUCGAUUGCCGACCAUGUCGCUGAGGCCGAGCGCCAGGACGGAGGUGCGGAGGAACAAGUACAAGGUGGCAGUGGAUGCGGAGGAAGGAAGAAGGAGGAGAGAGGACAACAUGGUGGAGAUUCGGAAGAACAAGAGAGAAGAGAACUUGCAGAAGAAGCGACGCGAGGGAGUGCAGGCGCAGCAUCAGCAACAGCAACUCACCUUCUCCUUUUCCAAUUCCGCUACUACCGAUAAGAAGUUAGAAAGUCUUCCAGCAAUGGUUGCAGGUGUUUGGUCAGAAGACAAGAAUUCACAGCUUGAGGCAACCACUCUUUUUCGAAAGCUGCUCUCAAUAGAACGCAAUCCUCCAAUCAAUGAAGUUGUACAAUCUGGUGUUGUUCCUCGUUUCAUUGAGUUCCUUGCAAGGGAUGAUUUUCCACAGCUUCAGUUUGAGGCAGCAUGGGCUCUCACAAAUAUUGCUUCUGGGACAUCAGAAAACACCAAGGUUGUAAUUGAUCAUGGGGCUGUGCCAAUAUUUGUCAAGCUUUUAAGUUCACCCACUGACGAUGUCAGGGAACAGGCUGUUUGGGCACUAGGAAACAUUGCUGGAGACUCACCUAAGUGUCGUGAUCUUGUUCUUAGCCAUGGGACUUUGAUGCCAUUACUUGCACAGUUUAAUGAACAUGCAAAGCUUUCUAUGUUGAGAAAUGCAACUUGGACAUUGUCUAACUUCUGCAGGGGCAAGCCACAACCUUUGUUUGAGCAGACAAAGCCCGCUCUCCCAGCGCUUGAGCGUCUUAUACAUUCAAAUGAUGAGGAAGUCCUGACGGAUGCAUGCUGGGCACUGUCUUAUCUCUCAGAUGGAACCAAUGACAAAAUCCAAGCUGUUAUUGAGGCAGGAGUCUGCCCCAGGCUUGUUGAACUUCUACUUCAUUCAUCUCCAACAGUGCUCAUUCCUGCAUUACGUACCGUUGGAAAUAUUGUCACUGGUGAUGACAUGCAGACUCAGGUAUCGACUUGUCAUGCUGCUCUCCUCCCCACCCCAUAAUCCUAUGCUCAUUUCUUUGCCACCUGGUCUUAAUCUAAUUUCAAAAUCAACUUGGCAAAGCCUUAUCUAAUGUAUAUGGAGUAGAAAAAAAGCAAGGAAAAGAAGGGAGAUCCGUUGUACAAGAUUUUGAAAGGGUAUCACUUUUUAGUCUACUUGAACUAAUCAUUUGAUGGUCUUUGAAUGCCUUUGUGGUUGACAAAACAUUCUUACUAAGUUAAUCUAUUUUUCUCUUUGUAUAUAAUUAAAUCUUAAGGAGAUGGAUGCAAUGUUACUUUUAAGUAUUUUGUGUUUUUGGGUAAAAUUUCAUUUAUGUUCAUCAUAUUGGUCAUUGUUGCAAAUUUGUAAUGUUUGCGUGACUCUAAAUGCUGUCAUGAUGCUUCUGAGUUGCUAAUGAACUGAUGCAUUAUCUUACUCUUGAUUGCAGUGUAUGAUAAACCAUCAAGCUCUUCCAUGCCUUUUGAACCUCCUGACCAAUAAUUAUAAGAAGAGUAUCAAGAAAGAAGCAUGCUGGACAAUCUCAAACAUCACAGCUGGAAAUGUAAAUCAAAUACAGACCAUAAUUGAAGCCGGUAUCAUUGCUCCCCUUGUCCAACUGCUUCAGAAUGCUGAAUUUGAGAUCAAGAAAGAGGCUGCUUGGGCAAUUUCAAAUGCUACUUCUGGUGGCACCCAUGAACAAAUCAAGUUCUUGGUUAGCCAGGGGUGUAUCAAGCCAUUGUGUGAUCUCCUGAUCUGUCCUGACCCCAGAAUUGUCACAGUUUGCUUGGAAGGACUUGAGAACAUUCUAAAGGUUGGGGAAGCAGAAAAAAAUUUAGGCAGUGCCAGUGGAGCAAAUCUUUAUGCCCAAAUGAUUGAUGAUGCAGAGGGUUUAGAAAAGAUUGAGAACCUUCAGAGUCAUGACAACAAUGACAUAUAUGAGAAAGCUGUGAAGAUUCUUGAGACAUAUUGGCUGGAGGAGGAUGAUGAAACAAUGCCACCAGGAGAUGCUUCCCAAUCUGGGUUCCAAUUUGGAGGGAGUGAGAUGCCUUCUGUUCCAUCUGGUGGAUUUAAUUUCAGCUAGACACAAGAGUUGUCACUGGUUCAAUAUUGAAGUCGUGAAAUGUGGUGAGACAGCUGUCAGCUUCAGGUCGGGUGUCUUGGUGUCAUGUUUGGGUCUACUGGUUUCGUCUAAGGUGUGGUUGAAAGGCUACUGGACGGUUUGGGGUUUUCAGCAUGGCGAGAUUAUAUUUUGGUGUGGGAAGACAGUGAAUUGGGUCACAUGAUGAACAUGGGUUUUCACUACUAUAAUCUGAAAAAACGGUGCUCAUUUUUGAUGGGGUGGGUUGUUCUUGGAGGUUGGGCUCUCAGAACAAACAUGGAGUCUUUUUGAAUGUCUGUUGUCAUAGUUUGUUUUAGUUGUGUCUCUGCCGUUUCCACGGUAUGUCGAUUUUGGCACUCCCAGAAUCUAUGUAGGGGCGUGCUUGUAUUUAUCUGGGAUAUUGGAAAAUUAUAAAAUUAUAUAAAUUACAUAUUUUGAGUCGGUUGCAGUGAAUUUUUUUUUUAAAAAAGAUUGACA